GAACGUAUGGCUUAGUGGUCAGAGCGCUUGGACGGUUUCUAAGUAGCGCGGGUUCAAAUCUCGCUACAUUCA
rnacentral:tRNA from 1 species